rnacentral:rRNA from 1 species
GACGAACGCUGGCGGCGUGCUUAACACAUGCAAGUCGAACGGAAAGGCCCUGCUUUUGUGGGGUGCUCGAGUGGCGAACGGGUGAGUAACACGUGAGUAACCUGCCCUUGACUUUGGGAUAACUUCAGGAAACUGGGGCUAAUACCGGAUAGGAGCUCCUGCUGCAUGGUGGGGGUUGGAAAGUUUCGGCGGUUGGGGAUAGACUCGCGGCUUAUCAGCUUGUUGGUGGGGUAGUGGCUUACCAAGGCUUUGACGGGUAGCCGGCCUGAGAGGGUGACCGGGCACAUUGGGACUGAGAGACGGACCAGACUCCAACGGGAGGCAGCAGUGGGGAAUAUUGCACAAUGGGCGGAAGCCUGAUGCAGCAGCGCCGCGUGCGGGAUGACGGCCUUCGGGUUGUAAACCGAUUUCGCCUGUGACGAAGCGUGAGUGACGGUAAUGGGUAAAGAAGCACCGGCUAACUACGUG